UGCCCAGCAAGGGCUGUAUGUGGGCGCGUGUCGCCGGGGCGCGGCUGCGGAUUUUGUGCUAUGCGGGCAUUUGUGGCGAAGAUUAUGCUUGCUGGCCAGAGGUCCCAGUAGGAAAAGCUCCUAGCAUGAAAUUCCCGGGACGCCUGCGCUUUCCGCUUUGUAAGCUGUCUGGUGUGUGCUACUCCGCUGUUUGGAGCCUGAGUUGUAAUUGGGGAAAAUGGAUUUAAUCUGAAGGACCGGUUGGCGAGGACUAGAACGCACCACGCUUGCAAAGCGCUUUGCACAAGGGAGCCCUGGAGGCUGAAUCUGGCAGGCACAGUAAAUCCACUGGGCAGCCUGAAGACCCCGGUGGAGGUGGAACUGGCCCAGCGUCGGAAUGCAGGCACUCCACCUUCAGCACCGCAACCCGCGCAGCUACCGGGUCAAGGCCAGGGCAUCCUAUGUGGAUGAGACCCUGUUUGGCAGCCCAACAGGAACCCGGCCAACUCUACCAGACUUUGACCCACCCUGGGUGCAGAAUUGUAACAGAUCUAGAGGAGUGAGCCCAGGACCCCCGAAGGUCUCUCUGGCCAAGAGAGACUGUGAGUCUCCCUCCUCCAGGGGCAGCACCCCAAAUCUCACACCAAGGAAGAAAAACAAAUACAGGUUGAUUGGCCACACCCCAUCCUACUGUGAUGAGUCACUGUUUGGCUCCCGGCCACAGGGCACCAGCAAGGAGAGGUCUCGGACAGCCGUGGAGGAUGCGGCCAAGCUCCGGACCCUUUUCUGGACCCCACCAGCCACCCCUAGGGGCAGCCACUCACCUCGCCCCAGGGAGACCCCACUUCGGGCCAUUCACCCAACUGGACCUCCCAGGACAGAGCCCAGAGUGGCCACAGGCUCCCAGAUGGUGUCCCGGGAUGGGCUGGAUGCUCCCCGCUCUCUGGGACAGAGGCGUUCCUAUUCACUCACCCACCUAGCUGUCCCCAGCACGGGUCAUCCAGCUUCCACUGCCCCCCAGACCAAUGGGCCUUGGAGUCCCCGGCCUUACACAUCAGGGGCGACUGUCCAGAGUCCCCUAGUCACUCGCAAGGUAUGCUCAGGCAGUGUUUCGGGGCCAACUACCCCUCAGCGAGGGGCCUGCCCCCAAAAGCCAAAGCCUCCUUGGAAAUGACAUUCUUACCAGGUAAGCCUUUGGCUCAAAGCCAGGACUCAAGCUCAGGUGUGGUCCUCUGGAGACAAUGGUCCCCAGGGCCUCCAAAUGCUGGAGAAGCCUCCACGGGGCUCCAUGGUAAGGAUGGGCCAUAUUUUCCCUAGUCCCCACAAGCUCAGGAUGUCCCCAGCCUUCUCUGCAGGGUAUUUGGGGUCCUUGAGAUAGAUGUCUCUGUAGCCAUGUGUCAGCCUCCCGGCUUCUGCGUUGGUGCCAAGCCCCACCCGGUUCCCUACAAAGGGUUCAGUUUCCACAGGGGUCUGAAGGUCUUAAGGGGUCCUGGGCUGUGUGUGGACCCCAGGGGUGGGACCCGGGGAGACAUUAUUUUAAUAUUCAUGUAUUUAUUCCACGUAUUAAAUGUAUUUGGAUCGCCAAAA
rnacentral:lncRNA from 1 species